rnacentral:rRNA from 1 species
CCGGCGACCGGCGCACGGGUGAGUAACACGUAUGCAACCUGCCCUCUUCAGGGGGACAACCUUCCGAAAGGGAGGCUAAUCCCGCGUAUAUCGGUUUCGGGCAUCCGAGAUCGAGGAAAGAUUCAUCGGAAGAGGAUGGGCAUGCGGCGCAUUAGCUAGACGGCGGGGUAACGGCCCACCUAACCGACGAUGCGUAGGGGUUCUGAGAGGAAGGUCCCCCACACUGGUACUGAGACACGGACCAGACUCCUACGGAAGGCAGCAG